GGCAGCUCUCAGAGACAAGCCAAAAAGCUUAAAGCAAGAUCGGGGCAGUUUUAGGAGAGGCAGUUUAAGGAGAGGCAGUGUGAUGUAGUGGGGCAGUUUUAGGAAAGGCAGUUUUAGGAGAGGCAGUGUAAUGUAGCGGGGCAGUUUUAGGAGAGGCAGUGUGAUGUAGUGGGGCAGUUAUAGGAGAGGCAGUGUGAUGUAGUGGGGCAGUUUAAGGAGAGGCAGUUUAAGGAGAGGCAGUUUUAGGAGAGGCAGUGUAAUGUAGCGGGGCAGUUUUAGGAGAGGCAGUGUGAUGUAGUGGGGCAGUUAUAGGAGAGGCAGUGUGAUGUAGUGGGGCAGUUUUAGGAGAGGCAGUGUGAUGUAGUGGGGCAGUUUUAGGAAAGGCAGUUUUAGGAGAGGCAGUGUAAUGUAGCGGGGCAGUUUUAGGAGAGGCAGUGUAAUGUAGCGGGGCAGUUUUAGGAGAGGCAGUGUGAUGUAGUGGGGCAGUUAUAGGAGAGGCAGUGUGAUGUAGUGGGGCAGUUUUAGGAGAGGCAGUGUGAUGUAGUGGGGCAGUUAUAGGAGAGGCAGUGUGAUGUAGUGGGGCAGUUUUCGGAGAGGCAGUGUGAUGUAGUGGGGCAGUUAUAGGAGAGGCAGUGUGAUGUAGUGGGGCAGUUUUCGGAGAGGCAGUGUGAUGUAGUGGGGCAGUUUUCGGAGAGGCAGUGUGAUGUAGUGGGGCAGUUUU
ensembl:lncRNA